CGCUGCUGCACAGCUACCAUUUUAUUCAUUUAGAUUUUCAGCGUGCAGGCCACAGGUUGAGAACCGCUGCCGUAAAUGAUGUUCAAAUCGGCAAAAUUCACCAAAAGGCAAGUGGUUUAAUCAUUAAGAGAGCCAUCAACUCAUCCACCCACCUGAUUCCAGCGGAGACCCCUGACCGCCUGUACUGUAGUGUCGUCACACAGGCAGGGCGAGGACACCUUGCUCCAGUCGGACUCGUUAAGCAAGCGCAGGAAUGCUGCAUAUCUCAGCUGCUGUCUGCUUUCCAGCACACGCUGAGAUCUCAGCUCCAGAGCGAUGGACUUCACCAAGCGUGUGGGACGCUGCUUCGGCUUCUUCGUCCUGGCCAUCGUGCUGGAUGUGGCCGGCCUCGUCCUGUUCCUGCUCGGCAUCUUCGCCCAGCUCAGCUUCUGGGAUUUCUUCGUGCUCUCGGGCCCCAUCAUCAUCUUCCUCAGCCUGCUCUUUUGGAUCUUCUGGUACUUGGGGAACAUCAACGUGCCCUACCAGCAGCUCCUAUCCUGAAGGAAAGGAAUGGAGGAGUGGAGCGGAGGGGAAAGAGGGAUUGGGGACUCUCGAGUUUACGAGCAAAGGGGAGAAAUCAAGUACUUUGGGGGACCUGUGAAGUGUACGCUAUGGUUUAGCACAGAGGGAUCUGCUGUCAUCAUGACGUGUCAAAACCCUGCAUGAACAAUACACCUUGCAAAAGAGUGUGAUGAACUCCCCAGGACUCAAUCUGCACUCUGUGCACUUUGUUUAAGGCUGCUUGUUCUGAAAUUGGAACGAAGCCGAGUCAGUGAUGGCGCUGGUACUGCUCUGUAUUUAAAUAUGAGAAAUAAAUGUGAUUUGAAGGCAUGAAGAAAUGAUUGGCCGGUGAAAUGUUCAGACUGUAACGUUACAUGCUGCAGUGUGGUUGUAGAGUUUUGCUCAACUAUUAACUUACUGUUCUUGAUAGAUAGACAGACAGAGAGAUAGACAGGUAGAUAGAUAGAUAGAUGGAUAGAUAGAUAGAUAGAUAGAUAGAUAGAUAGAUAGAUAGAUAGAUAGAUAGAUAAUGUCCAUCCAAGGUUUCUCUUAUACAUGAACACCCAUAAUGGGCCAUCUGAUAGAUAUAAAGGGGGGAUCAGAACAUAAAUUUAUCCUAAACCUGAAUAUAAAAAUAGCUGAUACAGAGUCAGACCAUAACUUUUGUUUGCCUGUUAGUCUUAGCCAUCUGUUCAGACCUAACCACAAGAUGUUCCAACAUCUGCACAUCACAAAUAUCAUCUCUCUCUCUCUCUCUCUCUCUCUCUCUCUCUCUCUCUCUCUCUCUCUCUCUUCUCAUGUUUAAAAAAUUGCAGCGAUAUCUAAAAGUAGUGCGUUAAUGCAGAUCUUUGUGGUCUUUGACUGCCAUCUAGCGGCCACAUAAUGUAAUAACACUGCAAUGUUCUCAAGAUUUUAAGAUAUAUAUUAUAAACACACAUGUUGAUCAAACUGAUAAAGUCCCUUCAAGCAUACAGAAGGUUUGUUUAGGUAAAAUAACGAGCACCUGUCGAUAAUCAUUUUAUAAUUGAUCAUUUUUGUUAAAAAAAAAAAAAAAAAAACUGGCUGUACUGACCCCACUGUAAGUAAUACACUAAGGAGACUGACUGACUACUGACUGAUCCCUCCACCUGAAAAGGAAAAAUAUAUAUCUUAUCAUUUGACUAAUUGUACUUAAUAAUACAGCACCGCAUGUGUAAGGUUUAGUUUCAGUUUGU
ensembl:lncRNA